GACGAACGCUGGCGGCGUGCCUAAUACAUGCAAGUUGAGCGCUGAAGGUUGGUACUUGUACCAACUGGAUGAGCAGCGAACGGGUGAGUAACGCGUGGGGAAUCUGCCUUUGAGCGGGGGACAACAUUUGGAAACGAAUGCUAAUACCGCAUAAAAACUUUAAAAACAAGUUUUAAGUUUGAAAGAUGCAAUUGCAUCACUCAAAGAUGAUCCCGCGUUGUAUUAGCUAGUUGGUGAGGUAAAGGCUCACCAAGGCGAUGAUACAUAGCCGACCUGAGAGGGUGAUCGGCCACAUUGGGACUGAGACACGGCCCAAACUCCUACGGGAGGCAGCAGUAGGGAAUCUUCGGCAAUGGACGAAAGUCUGACCGAGCAACGCCGCGUGAGUGAAGAAGGUUUUCGGAUCGUAAAACUCUGUUGGUAGAGAAGAACGUUGGUGAGAGUGGAAAGCUCAUCAAGUGACGGUAACUACCCAGAAAGGGACGGCUAACUACGU
rnacentral:rRNA from 1 species